GUGGGGAAUUUUGCGCAAUGGGGGAAACCCUGACGCAGCGACGCCGCGUGGAGGAUGAAGGCCCUUGGGUCGUAAACUCCUGUCAGGUGGGAAGAAAGGCUUCCGGUUCACCCGGGAGAUUUGACUGUACCACCGGAGGAAGCCCCGGCUAACUCCGUGCCAGCAGCCGCGGUAAUACGGAGGGGGCAAGCGUUGUUCGGAAUCAUUGGGCGUAAAGGGCGCGUAGGCGGCCGGCCAAGUCGGGUGUGAAAUCCCUCGGCUCAACCGAGGAACUGCAUUCGAUACUGGUUGGCUAGAGUCCGGGAGGGGAUGGUGGAAUUCCCAGUGUAGCGGUGAAAUGCGUAGAUAUUGGGAAGAACACCGGUGGCGAAGGCGGCCAUCUGGACCGGUACUGACGCUGAGGCGCGAAAGCCAGGGGAGCGAAUGGGAUUAGAAACCCUAGUAGUCC
rnacentral:rRNA from 1 species